GGGGGAAGGACACGUGCCGUGUUCCAGAGUGUCCCGAGGAGAGCAGCGAGGCCAGGAAGACAAGGCACACGGGAUUCUCAGUGUGGACCAGCUCUGAAACACACCCCUCCAGGGCUUCCCCAGCCCUGGUUACCGGGGCCCUGCCUGUCUCCCAAUCUCCCUGGCACUCCUUUGACAAGAGUCUGCUGGACAGCUGUUCUUGGUGGGUGUGAUUUUGCUUCCUGGGACAUUGGCAACACCGGGAGAUGUUCUGUUGUCCCAAAUGGAGGGACGAGUGCUACUGGCCCGCAGCUGAGUGGACGCUGCCAGACCACGGUGCGCACCGGACAGCUCUGCGUGACCAAGGUGGCCCAGCCUGAGGCCGACAGCAUUGAGGCUGCGGACUGCCCGGGGCAGGUAUUAGGAUGCAGAGAGAGAAAGAAAAGGAAAGUGAGACAGCAAGUUGUCACAUCUGGGACUCGAGCCGUGGUCAGCCACGUGGAAGUCCAGCACCUCAACCACUAUGCCACCUGCCAACCUGUCGUUUUAACAAAUGGUGUUGAGAUGGUUGGGUUAUUUCACACUAUAUACAGAAAUAAACUCACCUUAAUGUAA